AUAGCCUUCGAAUAGCUGAAUGGUUUAUCUAAUAAUCAUUUGGUUCAGACAGAGGCUUACAUUGGAAAGAAAUAAAUCCCUUGAACAAAUCUGUUUAAGGGUAAGGAUUGCUUUUUUGAUGCAGUUCUUUUCCUAGAUUAUUUCAAACAUAU